rnacentral:rRNA from 1 species
AUUGAACGCUGGCGGCAUGCUUUACACAUGCAAGUCGAACGGCAGCGCGGGCUUCGGCCUGGCGGCGAGUGGCGAACGGGUGAGUAAUGCAUCGGAACGUGCCCAGUAGUGGGGGAUAGCCCGGCGAAAGCCGGAUUAAUACCGCAUACGACCUGAGGGUGAAAGCGGGGGACCGAAAGGCCUCGCGCUAUUGGAGCGGCCGAUGUCGGAUUAGCUAGUUGGUGGGGUAAAGGCUUACCAAGGCGACGAUCCGUAGCUGGUCUGAGGGGACGACCAGCCACACUGGGACUGAGACACGGCCCAGACUCCUACGGGAGGCAGCAGUGGGGAAUUUUGGACAAUGGGGGCAUCCCUGAUCCAGCCAUGCCGCGUGCGGGAAGAAGGCCUUCGGGUUGUAAACCGCUUUUGUUCGGGAAGAAAUCCUCUGGGCUAAUACCCCGGGGGGAUGACGGUACCGGAAGAAUAAGCACCGGCUAACUACGUG